AUUGAACGCUGGCGGCAGGCCUAACACAUGCAAGUCGAACGAGUGGCGGACGGGUGAGUAAUGUCUGGGAAACUGCCUGAUGGAGGGGGAUAACAACUGGAAACGGUAUCUAAUACCGCACACCAUCAGAUGUGCCCAGAUGGGAUUAGCUAGUAGGUGAGGUAACGGCGCACCUAGGCGACGAUCCCUAGCUGGUCUGAGAGGAUGACCAGCCACACUGGGACUGAGACACGGUCCAGACUCCUACGGGAGGCAGCAGGGGGGAAUAGUGCACAAUGGGCGCAAGCCUGAUGCAGCCAUGCCGCGUGUAUGAAGAAGGUCUUCGGGUUGUAAAGUACGUUCAGCGGGGAGGCGUUACCCGCAGAAGAAGCACCGGCUAACUCCGUGCCAGCAGCCGCGGUAAUUC
rnacentral:rRNA from 1 species